GCUGCCUUAGUGGAUAGAGUGUCUGCUUCACAUGCAGGAGGCUGCAGGUUUGAAACCUGGCUGAGUCA